rnacentral:rRNA from 1 species
AGGAUAAACGCUGGCGGCGUGCCUAACACAUGCAAGUCGAACGCGCUUGCUAUCCGCGAGGACGGUGAGCGAGUGGCGGACGGGUGAGGAACACGUGGGUGACCUACCUUUCAGUGAGGGAUACCGGCGAGAAAUUGCCGACAAGACCGCAUACGCUUCUCUUAUCAAGGGGAGAAGGAAAGCUUUUCGCAAGAGAGGCGCUGGGAGAUGGGCCUGCGGCCGAUUAGCUAGCUGGUGGGGUAAUGGCCUACCAGGGCGACGAUCGGUAGCUGGUCUGAGAGGACGAUCAGCCACACUGGGAUUGAGAACGGCCCAGACUCCUACGGGGGGCAGCAGUGAGGAAUUUUCGGCAAUGGGGGCAACCCUGACCGAGCAACGCCGCGUGCAGGACGACGGCCUUCGGGUUGUAAACUGCUUUUCUCUGGGACGAGCAAGGACGGUACCAGAGGAAGAAGCCCCGGCUAACUACGUGCCAGCAGCCGCGGU